CAUAAGAGCUGCAAUCAACCAGGCACAAUCUUCAAGUUGGAAGUACUGUAGCCAGGAUGCAGACCAAGUCUCUUAGUGUCCGGGGACAUUUGAUACUGCAGAAACUACCUGCACUCCAGUCCUCCUCUUGGGCACUGAGACUGAGGAAUGCAGAUUUCACAGGAGUCAAAAGAUCUUUACACAAACCCCAGGAGUCUCAGAUUUAUUAAAAGACACGGCUGAUAGAACAAGUUAUGCAUCUGCUCCG